ACCUGUCACAUCGUCACCCCAACGCAACGGUCAUAUCUUACUAUAAAUUUAUAAUAAGAUACAACUUUGUUGCGUUGAGGUGACGACAUAAUGACAAGAUGAGCUUUUGUGAUCACCCUUCGUCCGAAGUCCUCUGGAUAGGGAACUCUGCAAUUGCAGAGCCAUUCUUAGGUGCCCAUUUCUCUUUCAGCUAGAUAGGGAACUAAAUUGUGUAGAUAGGGAAGAUCUCUCAAGUAUAAGGUUAUGUAACUAUGCAGCCGGAUAAUGCAUCUCCUAUGGAAAGGCAUUUGUAGCCUGUAACUGUGCAGCCGGAUAAUGCCUCUCAUAUUGAAAGGCAUUUGAAGCCUGAAGUAUACAGCCGGAUAAUGCCACUCCUAUGGAAAGCAUUUGAAGUAUGUAAGUAUGCAGCUGGAUAAUGCCUCUCCUAUGGGAAACCAUUCGAAGUCUGCUAAAAAUAAUAUAAAUGGUCUUUAGAAUCAAAUGGGUGGUAUCAAGAACAGUAAGUAAUUGCAAGUUGUGAAAGAGGAUCAGGACAUUACAUUGACGGGGCUCACAUUUUGAGGGACAGUGAAAAUUGUUUUAAGCUAAAUCUCUUAAGCUACUGAGUGUUAAAUUCUUUUUCUGAAUGAAAAUUGAGUUGUCUUUUGCAACCGGAAUUACAGAGAUAAUGUUUUUAUUGCAAUAUUUUUAAUGUUUGUGUCGUAUAGAUUUUUUUUUCUAUUUUCAGAGUGAUCUGCAGUUGGGAGAGCUGAUAGUUUGUUUUCAGUUUUGUACAUAUUUUAAUGUUAUGACAUGUUUUAAAAUCUGAAUAAAAUGAAUAAAUACCAUUUGUUUAUAUACGUUAUGAUUUAAUUGCGUGCGUAGGCGGCAUUGUGGGAACGAGGGCGGGAUGCGCGGUUUUUUCUUUGUAUUGCUGUGUUUGAUUUUCGGAAGGUGUUUAUUUUUGUAGGUUUUUUGUUUGGAGGCAGUUGGUUUUUGUUUGGAGAUGGUUUAAUUGCUUUUGUUCAGAGGUGGGACAUUUGGAUGAUUUCUUUUAAGACAAAGGAAGCUGUGAAUUCAGCAAACAAGAUUAGUUUGUGUUUUAAGUAUGAUAUAAUUAGACAUGUUUGUAAAUUUUACCAUGUUUUUGUGUUACUGCUUUUUAGGUUGCAUGUUGACUGCAACAGACUACUAACACAGGUGUCGGAUGCCACAGCUGACACUGCUCUAAAGAGUGAUCUGCAGUUGGGAGAGCUGAUAGUUUGUUUUCAGUUUUGUACAUAUUUUAAUGUUAUGACAUGUUUUAAAAUCUGAAUAAAAUGAAUAAAUACCAUUUUUUAUAUACGUUAUGAUUUAAUCGCGUGCGUAGGCGGCAUUGUGGGAACGAGGGCGGGACGCG
rnacentral:lncRNA from 1 species